rnacentral:rRNA from 1 species
AGAGUUUGAUCAUGGCUCAGGAUGAACGCUAGCGGCAGGCCUAACACAUGCAAGUAGAACGGUAACAGAGAGAGCUUGCUCUCUGCUGACGAGUUGCGAACGGGUGCGUAACGCGUAUGCAACCUACCCAUAACAGGGGAAUAGCCCAUAGAAAUGUGGAUUAAUACCCCAUAAUAUCAUAGAUUGGCAUCAUGAAAUGAUUAAAACUCCGGUGGUUAUGGAUGGGCAUGCGUGACAUUAGCUAGUUGGUGAGGUAACUGCUCACCAAGGCGACGAUGUCUAGGGGUUCUGAGAGGAUGAUCCCCCACACUGGUACUGAGACACGGACCAGACUCCUACGGGAGGCAGCAGUGAGGAAUAUUGCGCAAUGGAGGAAACUCUGACGCAGCCAUGCCGCGUGCAGGAAGACUGCCCUAUGGGUUGUAAACUGCUUUUAUAUAGGAAGAACUACAGCUACGUGUAGCUGUUUGACGGUACUAUACGAAUAAGGACCGGCUAACUCCGUGCCAGCAGCCGCGGUAAUACGGAGGGUCCAAGCGUUAUCCGGAUUUAUUGGGUUUAAAGGGUCCGUAGGCGGGUUAUUAAGUCAGUGGUGAAAUCCUACAGCUCAACUGUAGAACUGCCAUUGAAACUGAUAACCUUGAGUAUAAUUGAAGUGGGCGGAAUGUGUCAUGUAGCGGUGAAAUGCUUAGAUAUGACACAGAACACCGAUUGCGAAGGCAGCUCACUAAGUUAUAACUGACGCUGAGGGACGAAAGCGUGGGUAGCGAACAGGAUUAGAUACCCUGGUAGUCCACGCCGUAAACGAUGUACACUCGUUGCUGGCGAUACACAGUCAGUGACCAAGCGAAAGUGUUAAGUGUACCACCUGGGGAGUACGCUC